rnacentral:rRNA from 1 species
UACAGAGGUCUCAAGCGUUGUUCGGAUUCAUUGGGCGUAAAGAGCGUGUAGGCGGCCCGGUAAGUCCGCUGUGAAAGUCGGGGGGCUCAACCCUCGGAUGCCGGUGGAUACUGUCGGGCUCGAGUACGGAAGAGGCGAGUGGAAUUCCUGGUGUAGCGGUGAAAUGCGCAGAUAUCAGGAGGAACACCAAUUGCGAAGGCAGCUCGCUGGGACGUUACUGACGCUGAGACGCGAAAGCGUGGGGAGCAAACAGG